rnacentral:rRNA from 1 species
AUUGAACGCUGGCGGCAUGCCUUACACAUGCAAGUCGAACGGCAGCGGGGGAGAAGCUUGCUUUUCCUGCCGGCGAGUGGCGAACGGGUGAGUAAUACAUCGGAACGUGCCCUGUAGUGGGGGAUAACUAGUCGAAAGAUUAGCUAAUACCGCAUACGACCUGAGGGUGAAAGUGGGGGACCGCAAGGCCUCAUGCUAUAGGAGCGGCCGAUGUCUGAUUAGCUAGUUGGUGGGGUAAAGGCCUACCAAGGCGACGAUCAGUAGCUGGUCUGAGAGGACGAUCUGCCACACUGGGACUGAGACACGGCCCAGACUCCUACGGGAGGCAGCAGUGGGGAAUUUUGGACAAUGGGCGAAAGCCUGAUCCAGCAAUGCCGCGUGUGUGAAGAAGGCCUUCGGGUUGUAAAGCUCUUUCGGCCGGGAAAAAAUCGCAUGGGUUAAUACCCUGUGUGGAUGAUGGUACCGGAAUAAGAAGCACCGGCUAACUACGUGCCAGCCGCCGCCGUAA